GAUGAACGCUGGCGGCGUGCCUAAUACAUGCAAGUCGAGCGAACGGACGAGAAGCUUGCUUCUCUGUUGUUAGCGGCGGACGGGUGAGUAACACGUGGCUAACCUACCUAUAAGACUGGGAUAACUUCGAGAAACCGGCGCUAAUACCGGAUGAUAUUUUGAACCGCAUGGUUCAAAAAUGAAAGACGGUCUUGCUGUCACUUAUCGAUGGAUCCGCGCUGCAUUAGCUAGUUGGUAAGGUAACGGCUUACCAAGGCAACGAUGCAUAGCCGACCUGAGAGGGGGAUCGGCCACACGGGAACUGGGAGAAGGUCCAGACUCCUACGGGAGGGUGCAGUAGGGAACUUUGCGCAAUGGGCUAAAGCCUGACGGAAGAACGCGGCGUGAGGCAUGAAGUUCUUCGGAUCGUAAAACUCUGUUAGUAGGGAAGAACAUAUGUGUAAGUAACUGUGCACAUCUUGACGGUACCUAAGCAGAAAGCCACGGCUAACUACGUG
rnacentral:rRNA from 1 species